CGGACGGGUGAGUAACGCGUGGGUAACCUGCCUUAUACUGGGGGAUAACAGCCAGAAAUGACUGCUAAUACCGCAUAAGCGCACAGGACCGCAUGGUUCCGUGUGAAAAACUCCGGUGGUAUAAGAUGGACCCGCGUUGGAUUAGUUAGUUGGCAGGGCAGCGGCCUACCAAGGCGACGAUCCAUAGCCGGCCUNAGAGGGUGAACGGCCACAUUGGGACUGAGACACGGCCCAGACUCCUACGGGAGGCAGCAUG
rnacentral:rRNA from 1 species